UCGAGGCUACGCCAUGCGCAGGAGUGGCCGUGCCGAUCGACGCGACUACGCCGGCUUCGUGAAUCGAUCUCGGCAAGAACGUGAUCUACUUUGUCCAAUCCUUCGUCUAGACUUCAGAUUGCAGCCAAUUCUAGUUCUGUCUGGGAUAUUCAAUCUUAGUAUCUAAUGACGUAUUUUGGAGUUUCGAAAUGGAAGACAUCAUUUUCAAGUAACUUUAUUUGUUGUUUCCUUGUUAUUUUAAGCAUUUGAUGGCUAUGUUUUGUAUUUAAUUAGUCUUCUAUUAUGUCAGGUAUAAGUUAUAAAACACACUUUUAUUUACUAUUGUCGUUACUUGAAAUUUUACACCAGUUAAAGUGGUGCAUCAGGGUAACAUUUGCUCCAGCUCCGCCCCUGAUAUUGGGUGUAUUUAUUUUUUGAUAAAAUUUCAUAAUGUAAGAUGUAUUUGUUCUAAUUCCUUGUAAUUUUAUUCUUGACCAUUCAGAAAAAAGAAAGUAUCUCUCA